rnacentral:lncRNA from 1 species
AAAAUAUACAUAAAAAAAAAAAAACGUGGUGAAAAUUUUGCAAAACCAUAAAAGGAAACAUAAAGCAAAUAAAAACAAUUUUAAAAGUGUUGUGGCUGCAAAGACAAAAACUUAAAAACCAACCCCUGGAUAAGGUACGCAAAGAAAAAAAUGAAAAAGUGACCUUAUUACAUAAUUCCAUGUAUGUACUGUACAUAGGUUAUGAUCCACGUGUGGCAGGAAAUUGCUGACCUGGCCUGACCCUCGGUCUCGGAGGGGGUCCGCUCCAGUACCACGAUCAUCAGUCCUUCUUUUUGGUGCCACCGGACCUUGCCUGCAGGCCGAGAAAUGGAUGGACUUGGCGAUCGGGACCGAGUUGUUUAUAUACAUAUAUCUCACGCGCAACUAAGCCGCUCAACAACAACGAUAAUAUAACCCCAUCUAAUAUAUUAUAUCACCGCGCCUUGUGUAAAGAAAAUGUGGGUGCUUGCAUAUAUAGGGUGUGGAAAAAUUAGCUCAGCGGUCAUUGCCCUUGCGGCUGACCAUACACCUAUGCGCGCUUAAAUAGACCCACCUGACCGUAUGUCAUUCCUAUUCUCUCCUUCUCUCAGGUUAUUAAAAUUGUUCGAUGCCGACAUUCUAAAAGCCACUUAAGGGAAGAAAAGUAAAUCACAAAAAUCUAGAAAAGAAAAUUUAAUGAAAAAUUAUGGAUAGAAGAAAAAAAUAGAAAAGAAAAUUGUUCAAUAAUAUUAAAUAUUCCUAGACAUUAACUUAGAAAUAGAAGAAGAAAAACAUGAAAUUUAUGCCUAGUUAAUAAUAGAUUCUAAAAGGGUGCAUCAUCGGUCUCAUUGUGUCCAUGGAAGGGUAUUGGUAAAAUACCUCUUAAUAACACUUCUUGUUAUUGUGCAUAUUUCUACAUUUCUUUAACAGUUUUUAUUGCGAACGUGAAAUUGGGCCCAACGACACCAACAGCUGUUUAAAAGUCUGUAAGUAGACACACAUAUAUACACAUACACUCCGGGUCAGGAGAAUAGCGUCAGAAUGCAGUGAGACAUGCAUGCUUAACCAUAUAUAAAAUGAAUUAUUAUUAACUACAAUCACUACAAUUAUGCCAUUUAAUUCAUUUAAUUAAUUCAUUCUUACUUUAUAUUUUGAUUAUAUUAUUUUUAUUCAUAUUUGAUCAUUCUCUUGAAUUCCUAUGUGUUAAAUUAGUCCUAAACAAGGUCACAGGUACGAAAUACCCCAAAAGCCUCAAGUUCACGACCUAACCCUCGACCAGGACCUGGCCAGACUAAACGUGCUCAGGAAUCCAAUGUUCUUUCCGAAGGAAAUAUCCAACGACUUAUUUCAGAGUCCAUGACUAAAAUUCAGGAAAAUAUGACCGCAGUUAUUUCAGGGAAGAUACGGAGUUGAGGUAUCUGAACCUGACAAAUGUUUCUAGGAACUUCCGGGAGGAGCCCCAGCUUGAAUGGGAGAGUGAUAUUGCUCCAUCCUUCCCUCGAAUGAGCAGCGCUAGUAAUCUUCGUAACCAUAGUUACAGUCUCUCUUAUUUACUGAUUCAGCCUUGUCAUUUUACUGGCGUGUUCAAAGGACCACGAAUAACCUUGACUGGUAUGAGUUAUGCAGCCGGUUGCAAGAGAGAUACCAGGAUCAACGUUCGGAUCGAGAGAUCAAAGCAGCCAUGCGUCGGCGUAAACAGGGUAGUAAUAAAAGCUUUGACGAUUUUCUAGAUGCGAUGCUAUCUAUCGCAGACCCUUUACAAGAGCCUAUGCAGGACGGUGACGUCACCAUAGAGGUUCGCGAGAAUUUAAAG